UACGUAGGGUGCGAGCGUUAAUCGGAAUUAUCGUGGCGUAAAGCGUGCGCAGGCGGUUCGACAAGUCCGAUGUGAAAGCCCCGGGCUCAACCUGGGAAUGGCAUUGGAAACUGGCGAGCUUGAGUGUGGCAGAGGGGGGUGGAAUUCCGCGUGUAGCAGUGAAAUGCGUAGAGAUGCGGAGGAACACCGAUGGCGAAGGCAGCCCCCUGGGCCAACACUGACGCUCAGGCACGAAAGCGUGGGGAGCAAACAGG
rnacentral:rRNA from 1 species